AUGCUCAAAAUUCUCCAAGCCAGGCUUCAGCAGUACAUGAACCGUGAACUUCCAGAUGUUCAGGCUGGCUUUAGAAAAGGCAGAGGAACCAGAAAUCUAAUUGCCAACAUCCACUGGAUCAUGGAAAAAGCAAGAAAGUUCCAGAAAAUCAUCUAUUUCUGCUUUAUUGACUAUGCCAAAGCCUUUGACUGUGUGGAUCACAAUAAACUGUGGAAAACUCUGAAAGAGAUGGGAAUACCAGACCACCUGAUCUGCUUCUUGAGAAACCUGUAUACAGGUCAGGAAGCAACAGUUAGAACUGGACAUGGAACAACAGAGUGGUUCCAAAGAGGAAAAGGAGUACGUCGAGGCUGUAUAUUGUCACCCUGCUUAUUUAACUUCUAUGCAGAGUACAUCAUGAGAAACGCUGGGCUGGAGGAAGCACAAGCUGGAAUCAAGAUUGCCGGGAGAAAUAUCAAUAACCUCAGAUAUGCAGAGGACACCACCCUUAUGGCAGAAAGUGAAGAGGAACUAAAAAGCCUCUUGAUGACAGUGAAAGAGGAGAGUGAAAAAGUUGGCUUAAAGCUCAACGUUCAGAAAACGAAAAUCAUGGCAUCUGGUCCCAUCACUUCAUGGCAAAUAGAUGGGGAAACAGUAGAAACAGUGUCAGACUUUAUUUUUCUGGGCUCCAAAAUCACUGCAGAUGGUGAUUGCAGCCAUGAAAUUAAAAGACGCUUACUUCUUGGAAGAAAAGUUAUGACCAACCUAGAUAGCAUAUUGAAAAGCAGAGAUAUUACUUUACCAACAAAGGUCCGUCUAGUCAAGGCUAUGGUUUUUCCUGUGGUCAUGUAUGGAUGUGAGAGUUGGACUAUGAAGAAAGCUGAGUGCCAAAGAAUUGAUGCUUUUGAACUGUGGUGUUGGGGAAGACUCUUCAGAGUCCCUUGGACUGCAAGGAGAUCCAACCAGUCCAUCCUAAAGGAGAUCAGUCCUGGGUGUUCCUUGGAAGGACUGACGUUGAAGCUGAAACUCCAAUACUUUGGCCACAUGAUGCGAAGAGCUGACUCAUUUGAAAAGACCCUGAUGCUGGGAAAGAUUGAGGGCAGGAGAAGGAGACAACAGAGGAUGAGAUGGUUGGAUGGUGUCACUGACACAAUGGACAUGGGUUUGGGUGAACUCUGGAAGUUGGUGAUGGACAGGGAGGCCUGGCGUGCUGCAGUUCAUGGGGUCACAAAGAGUCAGACAUGA
rnacentral:lncRNA from 1 species